AGCAGCCGCGGUAAUUCCAGCUCCAAUAGCGUAUAUUAAAGUUGUUGCAGUUAAAAAGCUCGUAGUUGAAUUUCGGGAUCAAUAUAUCGGUCGUGCCUUGGUACGUACUGGUAUCAUUGAUUUCUCCCUUCUGACGAACCAUGAUGUCAUUAAUUUGGUGUUAUGGGGAUUAGGACUGUUACUUUGAAAAAAUUGAGUGUUUAAAGCAAGCAUUAGCUUGAAUACAUUAGCAUGGAAUAAUGAAAUAGGACGUUUGACCCUAUUUUGUUGGUUUCUAGGAUCGACGUAAUGAUUAAUAGGGAUAGUUGGGGGCAUUAGUAUUCAAUUGUCAGAGGUGAAAUUCUUGGAUUUAUUGAAGACUAACUACUGCAAAGCAUUUGCCAAGGAUGUUUCAUUAAUCAAGAACGAAAGUUAGGGGAUCGAAGACGAUCAGAUACGUCGUAGUCUUAACCAUAAACUAUAGCCGACUAGGGAUCGGACGAUGUUAAUUUUUAUGUACUCGUUACGGCGCCGUUACGGA
rnacentral:rRNA from 1 species